GUCAGUGUGGUAUAGUGGUUUAUGUGUUGGACUACAGCUCUAAAGCCCAGGGUUUGAUUCCUGCUCAGCCA